rnacentral:rRNA from 1 species
CUACGGAUGGCCAUGCGGCGCAUUAGCUAGUUGGCGGGGUAACGGCCCACCAAGGCGACGAUGCGUAGGGGUUCUGAGAGGAAGGUCCCCCACACUGGUACUGAGACACGGACCAGACUCCUACGGGAGGCAGCAGUGAGGAAUAUUGGUCAAUGGGCGCGAGCCUGAACCAGCCAAGUCGCGUGAGGGAAGACGGUCCUAUGGAUUGUAAACCUCUUUUGUCGGGGAGCAAAAGACGCCACGUGUGGCGUUCCGAGAGUACCCGAAGAAAAAGCAUCGGCUAACUCCGUGCCAGCAGCCGCGGUAAUACGGAGGAUGCGAGCGUUAUCCGGAUUUAUUGGGUUUAAAGGGUGCGCAGGCGGAAGAUCAAGUCAGCGGUAAAAUUGAGAGGCUCAACCUCUUCGAGCCGUUGAAACUGGUUUUCUUGAGUGAGCGAGAAGUAUGCGGAAUGCGUGGUGUAGCGGUGAAAUGCAUAGAUAUCACGCAGAACUCCGAUUGCGAAGGCAGCAUACCGGCGCUCAACUGACGCUCAUGCACGAAAGUGUGGGUAUCGAACAGGAUUAGAUACCCUGGUAGUCCACACAGUAAACGAUGAAUACUAAUUGUUCGGGGAGAAUGAUCCCUGA